CCUACGGGAGGCAGCAGUGAGGAAUAUUGGUCAAUGGUCGCGAGACUGAACCAGCCAAGUAGCGUGAAGGAGGACUGUCCUGCGUGUCGUAAACUUCUUUUAUCAGGGAAUAAAGUCUGGCACGUGUCCCCUUUUGUGUGUACCUUAUGAAUAAGCAUCGGCUAACUCCGUGCCAGCAGCCGCGGUAAUACGGAGGAUGCGAGCGUUAUCCGGAUUUAUUGGGUUUAAAGGGUGCGUAGGGGGGUUGUUAAGUCAGUUGUGAAAGUUUGCGGCUCAACCGUAGAAUGGCAAUUGAUACUGGCAGUCGUGAGUACAGGUGAGGUAGGCGGAAUUCGCGGUGUAGCGGUGAAAUGCAUAGAUAUCGCGAAGAACUCCGAGUGCGAAGGCAGCAUACUAACUUCACACUGACACUGAGGCACGAAAGCGUAGGUAUCAAACAGGAUUAGAUACCCCGGUAGUC
rnacentral:rRNA from 1 species